AUUGAACGCUGGCGGAAUGCUUUACACAUGCAAGUCGAACGGCAGCACGGACUUCGGUCUGGUGGCGAGUGGCGAACGGGUGAGUAAUAUAUCGGAACGUGCCCAGUCGUGGGGGAUAACGUAGUGAAAAUUACGCUAAUACCGCAUACGAUCUAUGGAUGAAAGCGGGGGACCUUUGGGCCUUGCGCGAUUGGAGCGGCCGAUAUCAGAUUAGGUAGUUGGUGGGGUAAAGGCUCACCAAGCCAACGAUCUGUAGCUGGUCUGAGAGGACGACCAGCCACACUGGGACUGAGACACGGCCCAGACUCCUACGGGAGGCAGCAGUGGGGAAUUUUGGACAAUGGACGCAAGUCUGAUCCAGCCAUUCCGCGUGCAGGACGAAGGCCUUCGGGUUGUAAACUGCUUUUGUACAGAACGAAAAGGUUUCUACUAAUACUAGGAGCUCAUGACGGUACUGUAAGAAUAAGCACCGGCUAACUACGUGCCAGCAGCCGCCGUAA
rnacentral:rRNA from 1 species